CGCGAACCGUCACAGUCUGCAG
rnacentral:miRNA from 1 species